UCGUCUACAAAAGAGGGACGAAAGAUACCAAAGGGACAGUCAAACUCAUAAAUCUAAAACAAACUGACAACGCCAUGGCUAAAAAUGAAAAAGACAAACAGAAAAACAAUAGUACACAUGACACAACAUAGAAAACUAAAGAAUAAACAACACGAACCCCACCAAAAACUAGGGGUGAUCUCAGGUGCUCCGGAAGGGUAAGCAGAUCCUGCUCCACAUGCGGCACCCGUCGUGUUGCUUAUGUGAUUACAAAUCCGGUAAAUAGUCUAAUUAGGUAGGUCAAAUUCAUGAAAGGGAAGGGGAUUGUAGUUACGACGUGAGGAACAUAUCCGAUAUCAUUUGUGAAAUGGUUAUUCCAUAACGGUCAACAACUCGUGAUGGCGUCCGUAAAAUUUACGAAGGGAUGAUUUCAACUUCACCAUUUGGAACUCUUGAUUUAAUAGCUUCCUUGUGAGCAGUAACCCUCUAUCAAGAAAAUCAUGAUAGGAAAUGC
rnacentral:lncRNA from 1 species